UACAGAGGGUGCAAGCGUUAAUCGGAAUUACUGGGCGUAAAGCGUGCGCAGGCGGUUGUGCAAGACCGAUGUGAAAUCCCCGGGCUUAACCUGGGAAUGGCAUUGGUGACUGCACGGCUAGAGUGUGUCAGAGGGGGGUAGAAUUCCACGUGUAGCAGUGAAAUGCGUAGAGAUGUGGAGGAACACCGAUGGCGAAGGCAGCCCCCUGGGUCAAGAUUGACGCUCAUGCACGAAAGCGUGGGGAGCAAACAGG
rnacentral:rRNA from 1 species